GACGAACGCUGGCGGCGUGCUUAACACAUGCAAGUCGAACGGACAGGCCUCUUUCGGGGGGUACUCGAGUGGCCAACGGGUGGGUAACACGUGAGUAACCUGCCCUUGACUUUGGCAUAACUUCAGGAAACUGGCGCUAAUACCGGCUAGGAGCUCCUGCUGCCUGGUGGGGGCUGGAAAGUUUCGGCGGUUGGGGAUGGAUUCGCGGCUUAUCAGCUUGUUGGUGGGGUAGUGGCUUACCAAGGCUUUGCCGUGUAGCCGGCCAGAGGGGGUGACCGGCCACAUUGGGACCGAGAUGCGGCCCAGACUCCUACGCGACGCAGCAGUGGGGAAUAUUGCACAAUGGGUGGAGGCCUGAUGCAGCAACGCCGUGUGCGGGAUGACGCCGUUCGGGUUGUAAACCGCUUGCGCUCAUGACGAAGCAUGGUGUGACGGUAGUGGAUAAAGAGGCACCGGCUAACUACGUG
rnacentral:rRNA from 1 species